AGCGAACGUUAGCGGCGCGCCUAACACAUGCAAGUCGCACGGAGUAGCAAUACUCAGUGGCGCACGGGUGCGUAACACGUAGAUAACCUGCCCUGAAAUGGGGGAUAACGUUCCGAAAGGAGCGCUAAUACCGCAUAACGCCGAGAUGGGUUUGCCUGUUUCGGACAAAGGCUGGGACCAGCAAUGGCCAGUCGUUUUGGGAGGGGUCUGCGGCCCAUCAGCUAGUUGGUAAGGUAAUGGCUUACCAAGGCAAAGACGGGUAGCUGGUCUGAGAGGAUGAUCAGCCACACUGGUACUGGAACACGGACCAGACUCCUACGGGAGGCAGCAGUGGGGAAUCUUGGUCAAUGGGCGCAAGCCUGAACCAGCGACGCCGCGUGAGUGAUGAAGGCCUUCGGGUUGUAAAGCUCUGUGGGGAGGGACGAAAGACUGAGGUCUAAUAGGCUUCAGGUUGACGGUACCUCCUUAGCAAGCACCGGCUAACUCUGUGCCAGCCGCCGCGGUAA
rnacentral:rRNA from 1 species